rnacentral:rRNA from 1 species
GACGAACGCUGGCGGCGUGCUUAACACAUGCAAGUCGAACGGAAAGGCCCUGCUUUUGUGGGGUGCUCGAGUGGCGAACGGGUGAGUAACACGUGAGUAACCUGCCCUUGACUUUGGGAUAACUUCAGGAAACUGGGGCUGAUACCGGAUAGGAGCUCCUGCUGCAUGGUGGGGGUUGGAAAGUUUCGGCGGUUGGGGAUGGACUCGCGGCUUAUCAGCUUGUUGGUGGGGUAGUGGCUUACCAAGGCUUUGACGGGUAGCCGGCCUGAGAGGGUGACCGGCCACAUUGGGACUGAGAUACGGCCCAGACUCCUACGGGAGGCAGCAGUGGGGAAUAUUGCACAAUGGGCGGAAGCCUGAUGCAGCAACGCCGCGUGCGGAAUGACGGCCUUCGGGUUGUAAACCGCUUUCGCCUGUGACGAAGCGUGAGUGACGGUAAUGGGUAAAGAAGCACCGGCUAACUACGUG